rnacentral:rRNA from 1 species
ACGAACGCUGGCGGCGUGCUUAACACAUGCAAGUCGCACGGAAAGGCCCUGCUUUUGUGGGGUUCUCGAGUGGCGAACGGGUGAGUAACACGUGAGUAACCUGCCCUUGACUUUGGGAUAACUUCAGGAAACUGGGGCUAAUACCGGAUAGGAGCUCCUGCUGCAUGGUGGGGGUUGGAAAGUUUCGGCGGUUGGGGAUGGACUCGCGGCUUAUCAGCUUGUUGGUGGGGUAGUGGCUUACCAAGGCUUUGACGGGUAGCCGGCCUGAGAGGGUGACCGGCCACAUUGGGACUGAGAUACGGCCCAGACUCCUACGGGAGGCAGCAGUGGGGAAUAUUGCACAAUGGGCGGAAGCCUGAUGCAGCAACGCCGCGUGCGGGAUGACGGCCUUCGGGUUGUAAACCGCUUUCGCCUGUGACGAAGCGUGAGUGACGGUAAUGGGUAAAGAAGCACCGGCUAACUACGUG